UACGGAGGGUGCGAGCGUUGUUCGGAAUUAUUGGGCGUAAAGAGCGUGUAGGCGGCCUUGUAAGUCAGAUGUGAAAGCCCUUGGCUUAACCAAGGAAGUGCAUUUGAAACUGCUUGGCUUGAGUACGGGAGGGGAAAGCGGAAUUCCCGGUGUAGAGGUGAAAUUCGUAGAUAUCGGGAGGAACACCGGUGGCGAAGGCGGCUUUCUGGACCGAUACUGACGCUGAGACGCGACAGCGUGGGGAGCAAACAGG
rnacentral:rRNA from 1 species